GACGAACGCUGGCGGCGUGCCUAACACAUGCAAGUUGAGCGACGAACCAGGGCUUGCCCUGGGGCAUAGCAGCGAACGGGUGAGUAACACGUGGGUAACCUGCCCCGAUGACCGGGAUAACCCGAGGAAACUCGGGCUAAUACCGGAUGUGUCAUACCGGCUCAAGCCGGCAUGGCAAAGGAAGCUUCGGCCUCCGCUUCGGGAGGGGCCCGCGGCCCAUUAGCUUGUUGGUGAGGUAAAGGCNCACCAAGGCAACAAUGGGUAGCUGGUCUGAGAGGACGAUCAGCCGCACUGGGACUGAGACACGGCCCAGACUCCUACGGGAGGCAGCGAGUGGGGAAUCUUGCGCAAUGCGCGAAA
rnacentral:rRNA from 1 species